UGGAUGGAUCCUGCCACAGCCCUGUCCUUCCCCAGGAAGACGGUGAAGUUGGUCACAUGGCAGAGGGAGAGCGACUGGAAUGAGCAGCGGGCAAGCCCGGGGUCAGCCUGCGGGGUCACAGAGGUCAGGGGGCAGGGCAGGGUCAGUGUGAGGGGCGGGGUCACCUGGGGUCAACCUGCAUGUCGGCGUCAGCAGGGGUCACCCAUACUUGGGGUGAGUGGUAGGGCCAGCACUAAUUUGCAUUAAUUUGUAUGAACUUGCAUAAAUUUGAAUUUCAUUUGAAUAAAUAUCCACAGGCCCUGAUCAUGGGCUUUGCAUAAAUCUGCAUGGAUUUGCAUAACAUCAUGGUUCCAUCUGAGUUUAUUUGCAUAAACCCAGAUGACAUCAUGUUCUAGCCUUCAUAAAUUUGCCUAACUCCACCUGGGGUGGGUGGGUCCUGAAGUCUCAGCUCUGCUGGACCAAAUUUGCAUACACCCAGAUGACAUCAUAGGUUUUCUCCCCCUGCUCAUCUCUGCAUAAAUUUGCACAAGAAGUGACUGGGCAGAGCCUGAAGUGACUGACAGGCAGAAGAGGAAGCAGAGGGCAGGGCCGGAUGGGUGGUAGGGGCGGAGUCUGGAAUGAUUGGCAUGGUGAGAAGUUUGUGCUGGGGGCAGGAAUAAGACUGGAAGUGGGCAUGGCAAGGCAUGGAAUGCUGGUGGGCGUGGCAGGAAGUGACUGGUGGGUGGGGCCUAGAGUGACUCACAGCAGAAAGUGGGCAUGGCCAGGAUGACGGACAGUGUGGAGAUCCCUACCCACCCAAGCCCCACACCCUGGAUGACUGACAGCCAACUCCGCCCACCAACCAGGGCUUGCCCCUCACCCAGACAAAGAUGUCCCUGCCCUUCCUGCAAAAAGCCCCUGUCGUGAUGUCAGCGCCGGGGGCGGGGUCCCAGCUCAGUGUGUAGUGGGCGGGGUCGAUAUGCAGGUUCUGGAUGGGCGUGGUCACAGCAGUGGGUGGAGCCUCACGGACCGCAGCUGUUGUCAAGGGGAGGUGGGGUGGGGCUUGAGUGACAGGUGACAUCAUCCACAGUUGUGGGAGGUGCCUGGGCUUUGAUUGACACCAUUCUCCGUGACAGGAAGUGAGGGGGUGGAAAAGAAAGGAAGUGGGCGGGACUUAGGCUUUGAUUGACACCCAGAUGACAUGAGAGGCAAGUGACAUGUCCCUAGGUGACAUCAUUGGUCCCCUAUGACAGAAAGCGAUGGGGCGGGGCCUCUCUUAGUGAUGUCUUCGACCAGGAUGAUGAUGGCAUCCACCAUCAGUGGGCGUGGCCUGAGCCUUGAUUGACAAGGGGGGGUGCAGAGAUGACUUCAUUCGCCAUGACAGGAAGUUAGUGGGCAGGGCUUGAGCUGAGAUUGACACCCGGAGCUGGGACAGGCCAACAAGAAGGGAAGAGCUUAGGGGGCGGGAUUUGGGUUUUGAUUGACAUCUGGGGGUGAGAAUGACAUCAUCCUUCGUGACAGGAAGUAAGGUUUGGGAGAGGAAGCAAAGGGGUGGGACCAGAGCUCUGAUUGACACCUGGAUGAAGUCACAGAACAGGACAGGAACCGGGUGGAUGGGGCAUUGGGUGACUGACAGGUGACACCAUCCUUCGCCAGGGGGCUGGGCCUGAGUCUUGUGAGACACCCGGGGGUGGGGCCCCGACCGACAGGAAGUGGGGGGCGUGGCCCGAGCAUAGGCCCUGCCCCAUGAAGACACCUACCCAGAUCUGAAGAGUGGGAUGCCAGGAGCCCCAGGAUGAGCCACAGGUUGGCGGCCAUGAUAGGAGGGCGGGGCUGGAGCCUCGGAGGCCUGGGGGCGGGGCCGGGGCGUGAGGGGCGGGGCCGGGGCGCAAGCGGACUCCACCUCCUGAUCCCGACCCCUUCACGAUGCUUCUGGUUCCUGUCAUGGUCCAUUGCGGUCAUUCCCCUGCCUCAGCUGCUCACUCGCGGUUAUCCCCCUGCCUCAGCUUCACUGUCCCCAGUGUCACAUCGCGAGGCAGGGGUAUGGGUAUGCCCAGGAGUGAACAGCAUGAGGCAGGAGCAUGUCCAUCAGUGCAGAUGACAAGGCAGAGGGAUGGCAGCGGUGACCGGAAGCAGAAACGGAGGCUGGAGGAUGCUGGCAAGUGAGCGGAAGGAGGGACGGAGUCAGGGAGACGCCCGCGAGUAAACAGUCCUGGCCCUGUGGGGACGACUAUGCCUGUGACAGCCUGGUUGUG
rnacentral:lncRNA from 1 species